UACAGAGGAUGCAAGCGUUAUCCGGAUUGAUUGGGCGUAAAGCGUUCGUAGGUUGCUUUCCAAGUCACCUGUUAAAGGUCAGAGCUCAACUUUGGCUUUGCAUGUGAAACUCGAAGGCUAGAGUACGGUAAAGGUAGUGGGAAUUCCCGGUGUAGCGGUGAAAUGCGUAGAGUUCGGGAAGAACACCAGAAGCGAAGGCGCGCUACUGGGUCGAUACUGACACUGAAGAACGAAAGCUAGGGUAGCGAAUGGG
rnacentral:rRNA from 1 species